UACGAAGGGGGCUAGCGUUGCUCGGAAUUACUGGGCGUAAAGCGUGCGCAGGCGGUGAUGUAAGACAGGUGUGAAAUCCCCGGGCUCAACCUGGGAACUGCAUUUGUGACUGCCUCGCUAGAGUACGGCAGAGGGGGAUGGAAUUCCGCGUGUAGCAGUGAAAUGCGUAGAUAUGCGGAGGAACACCGAUGGCGAAGGCAAUCCCCUGGGCCUGUACUGACGCUCAUGCACGAAAGCGUGGGGAGCAAACAGG
rnacentral:rRNA from 1 species